UCUUAUCGAAGUUAGCGGCGGACGGGUGAGUAACACGUGGGUAACCUGCCCAUAAGACUGGGAUAACUCCGGGAAACCGGGGCUAAUACCGGAUAACAUUUUGAACCGCAUGGUUCGAAAUUGAAAGGCGGCUUCGGCUGUCACUUAUGGAUGGACCCGCGUCGCAUUAGCUAGUUGGUGAGGUAACGGCUCACCAAGGCAACGAUGCGUAGCCGACCUGAGAGGGUGAUCGGCCACACUGGGACUGAGACACGGCCCAGACUCCUACGGGAGGCAGCAGUAGGGAAUCUUCCGCAAUGGACGAAAGUCUGACGGAGCAACGCCGCGUGAGUGAUGAAGGCUUUCGGGUCGUAAAACUCUGUUGUUAGGGAAGAACAAGUGCUAGUUGAAUAAGCUGGCACCUUGACGGUACCUAACCAGAAAGCCACGGCUAACUACGUGCCAGCAGCCGCGGUAAUACGUAGGUGGCAAGCGUUAUCCGGAAUUAUUGGGCGUAAAGCGCGCGCAGGUGGUUUCUUAAGUCUGAUGUGAAAGCCCACGGCUCAACCGUGGAGGGUCAUUG
rnacentral:rRNA from 1 species